rnacentral:rRNA from 1 species
AGCGAACGCUGGCGGCGUGCCUAACACAUGCAAGUCGAGCGAAGGCAUGAGUGUAGCAAUACACUUAUGUACUUAGCGGCGGACGGGUGAGUAACACGUGGAUAAUCUGCCCUGGGGACCGGGACAACUCUUGGAAACGGGAGCUAAUACCGGAUGUGACCACGAUGCUUGAGGGCAUUGGGGGUAGAAGGGUGGCCUGCAAGGGCUAUUGCCUUGGGGAUGAGUCACGACCCAUCAGGUAGUUGGGGGGUAAGAGCCACCAAGCCGAAGACGGGUAGCUGGUCUAAGAGGAUGAUCAGCCACACGGGAACUGGAGACACGGUCCCGACUCCUACGGGAGGCAGCAGUGGGGAAUAUUGGGCGAAUGGGCGAAAGGCCUGACCCCAGCGACGCCGGCGUGGGGGGAUGAAGGGCCUU